UACGUAGGUGGCGAGCGUUGUCCGGAUUUAUUGGGCGUAAAGCGCGCGCAGGCGGUCGCGUAAGUCUGCUGUGAAAUCUCCCUGGCUCAACCGGGAGGGGGCGGCGGAGACUGCGGGACUGGAGCAAGCUAGGGGGCAAUGGAAUUCCCGGUGUAGUGGUGGAAUGCGUAGAUAUGCGGAGGAACACCGAUGGCGAAGGCAGCCCCCUGGGUCAAGAUUGACGCUCAUGCACGAAAGCGUGGGGAGCAAACAGG
rnacentral:rRNA from 1 species